UGGUGGGUAGUUUGACUGGGGCGGUCUCCUCCCAAAGCGUAACGGAGGAGCACGAAGGUUAGCUAAUCCUGGUCGGACAUCAGGAGGUUAGUGCAAUGGCAUAAGCUAGCUUGACUGCGAGCGUGACGGCGCGAGCAGGUGCGAAAGCAGGUCAUAGUGAUCCGGUGGUUCUGAAUGGAAGGGCCAUCGCUCAACGGAUAAAAGGUACUCCGGGGAUAACAGGCUGAUACCGCCCAAGAGUUCAUAUCGACGGCGGUGUUUGGCACCUCGAUGUCGGCUCAUC
rnacentral:rRNA from 1 species